GUAGGGAAUAUUGGGCAAUGGAUGCAAGUCUGACCCAGCCAUCCCGCGUGCCGGAAGAAGGCCCUCAGGGUUGUAAACGGCUUUUGACGGUGAAGAACCGACAGGAUGCGUCCUGUUUUGACGGUAGCCGUUGAAUAAGCACCGGCUAACUCCGUGCCAGCAGCCGCGGUAAUACGGAGGGUGCGAGCGUUGUCCGGAUUUAUUGGGUUUAAAGGGUGCGUAGGCUGGAAGGUCAGUCAGCGGUGAAAAGCUAUCGCUUAACGAUAGUCUUGCCGCAGAUACUUCCUUUAUUGGAUGAGGAGGAGGCCACUGGAACGGAUGGUGUAGCGGUGAAAUGCAUAGAUAUCAUCCAGAACACCGAUUGCGAAGGCAGGUGGCUGUACCUUAAUCGACGCUGAUGCACGAAAGCAUGGGGAGCAAACAGGAUUAGAAACCCCGGUAGUCC
rnacentral:rRNA from 1 species